GAUGAACGCUGGCGGCGUGCCUAAUACAUGCAAGUCGAACGAAUCUUCUUCGGAAGAUGAGUGGCGCACGGGUGAGUAAUACAUAGGUAACCUGCCCCUGUGCGGGGGAUAACAGGAGGAAACUCCUGCUAAUACCGCAUAGCCAUGAGCACCGCAUGGAGCUCAUGCCAAAUAUCCUUUCGGGGAUAGCGCAGGAGUGGACUUAUGGCGCAUUAGCUGGUUGGCGGGGCAACGGCCCACCAAGGCAACGAUGCGUAGCCGGCCUGAGAGGGCGGACGGCCACAUUGGGACUGAGACACGGCCCAGACUCCUACGGGAGGCAGCAGUAGGGAAUUUUCGGCAAUGGGGGAAACCCUGACCGAGCAACGCCGCGUGAGCGAAGAAGGCCUUCGGGUCGUAAAGCUCUGUUGUAAAGGAAGAACGGCGCAUACAGGAAAUGGUAUGCGAGUGACGGUACUUUACCAGAAAGCCACGGCUAACUACGUGCCAGCAGCCGCAGUAAUAC
rnacentral:rRNA from 1 species